ensembl:lncRNA
UUUUCAAAUUAAUUAGCCCUUCUGUGUGCAUUUUGCCUCCAUGUAUUUAUGUGCAGUACAUGUCUGAAGUGCCUGCAGAGCCAGAAGAGGACUUUUUGUUCAUUUGUUUGUUUGUCUUUUAUUUUUUAUCUUUUGGGACUGGAGUCGCAGACCAUUGAAAGCCACCAUGUGGGUGCUGGCAACCAAACCCAGGUCCUUCGUAGAAGCAAGUGCUGUUAACCACAGGGCCAUGUCACUCGCCCCACUCAUUUAUCUCUUGAUGACAAACAUUAUGACUUCAGUGAGGCCAAAGAGUUUUCAGGGUUGCUUCCCUUCUUCUUCUCACCGAAGAGGGCGAGAUCAGAAAGAUCAUGGCAGAUGCUCUGGCACUCAGGGCUCACAUUGAACUUGGAGCUCAUGAACUACACCUGUUCUGCCAGCCCCUGGCAUACGCCUGUCUCUGCCUGCAAGCACUGGACCACAGACAUGCGCUUGACCAUCAGACUUUUCCCAUGAGCGAGAAGGACCCAGACUCCACACUCCACUGAGCCACCUCUUCUCUUCCAUUCCUCAUGGGAGCCUCAAAAGACUCGAGUGCUAAGAUAUCAAAUAAAAUAAGACGGUUAAAGAGAAGGUGGAUAUGGGCCACUGUCAUCCUGGUAUUUGUGGAAACCAGAGGGUAAGGGAUCCUGGAGAGCUGGAGUUACAGGUGGUGUGAGCUGACAGGUGGGUGCUGAGACCUGAACCUGGGUCCUCUGCAAGAGCAGCAAAUGCUCUCAACUACUGUGAUAACCUCAACAGCCCAUGCGUCCCCCACUUUUUCAUGAUCAUUUAAGGAGAAUUUUAGCAGCUGUUUUGCACCAGGUGUCCUGCUUGGAGCUAGGGAUGUGGUAGUCCUUGGUUUCUUGUAUAGAAAUUUCCUUCCUCUACUAAUGCCAGUUACAUUAUGUAUGCUCCGCUCAGAUGAAUUAUUAAGAUGUUUUCUGAUAUGCUUGUCUUGUUGAGAUCAAAGAAGGAAUACUCCCCCGUGGCAAGGAGAUGGGGAAUACUUGACUCCUAGGCAAGUAGGAAAUCAUUACCGAUAUCAAUCACUCCCAUGUUCCAUCACCCAGAAAAGUGGGUCCUUAGUUAGAAAACUCAAGCUGGGGAUUUCUCUCUCUCUCUUUGGGUCUCAUUUACUUAUAUCAGGACUUCAAGGCAUAGCCACACCUCAUGACUGUAAUGCAUAAAGGCCAGGAGUUAUUAGGAUGUAGGGAUGGUAGGGCUUGCCACAAAAUCCAUAGGUCAAUUGAUAUCUCAGUCUAUUUGUGCUGUUAAAACAAAAUCCUUAGACUGUCUGAUCUAGGAAUAGAGUAACUUUAAUGAUCAUAGUCACGGAGGCUGAGAACUCCGAGAUCAAGACAGUAGCAGGUGUCUGCUCAGAGCCCAGUCUUUGCUUUCAGGGAGAUGCUUUUAGCACAGCACGCUCUGCACAGGAUGAAUGCGUUUGGAUCCUCACAGGGUGGGAGACAGGAGGGCAAAAAGGCCUUGCCAUAUUUCCUGCUAGCUCUUUCAGAAGGCCCUCUGAAAACCUCCACAUGGGAUAUAUUAAACUACAACAUGAAUUUGAGGAAGGACACAAACAUUUUAAUCAUAAACAUUGGAACGGUUCUCAUGAAUCAUAGUUUUAAAAGCAAGCUGACUUCAUACGCAUUAGAAAAUUCUCUUGAAGUCUGAGAGGUGGCAUUGCUCUUCCCUUUGAGGCAGGGGUGGCUUUUCUCUAGCACUCACGUCCACACCCCUUUUCCUCUGGUUCUUCUGCCUUAAAUGUUGUGCUUAUGUUUUAUGGGUAGACGGUGCAUGCAAGCAUCCCUGGACUGCAGAAGCAAGAUGGCUUCUGGACUGUGGAUGCAGGGAAGGGGUUUAAGAACAUCCAAGUUAAAGAACUUUAAAAUUUAUUUUGAAAAAGAAAAAGGAGCAUUUUUUAUUUGUUCUUCAUGCGUCGCCGGCA